rnacentral:rRNA from 1 species
UACAGAGGAGCCAAGCGUUGUCCGGAUUGACUGGGCGCAAAGCGCACGCAGGCGGUCGUGCGCGUGGGGUGUGAAAUCUGGCCGCUUAACGGCCAGGCGCCAUCCCAUACGGCACGACUGGAGGGCUGCAGAGGUCGAUGGAAUUGCCGGUGUAGUGGUGAAAUGCGUAGAGAUCGGCAGGAACACCCAGGGGGAAACCAGUCGACUGGGCAGCACCUGACGCUGAGGUGCGAGAGCGUGGGGAGCGAACCGG